rnacentral:snRNA from 1 species
GUUCGAAUUGUAGUCUGGAGAA